AGUGCUGGGUGGGUUUCGCACUUCCCGGGACCUGGGUCCAGCCAUUCGUAGGGACGGAGGCACUGAGGGAUUUGUAAACUUGUGAUCACCAGCAUUGAGCCCUGGGUCUCCUCUUCACUGUUUGGUAUUUAUAGGUCUGUCUCACCUCCAAGGAUUACAACAGAAACCCGCCAUGCCUCUGGGAACACCUGCCCCCCUAAACAAGCGGAAAAAGCCCUCCAAGAUCAUAACCGACCUAUCACAUAUCACUCAGGAUGAGUAUGAGUCCGAGCCAGAGGCGUCUGAGUUCGACCUGGGGACAAAGAUCAGGACUCCCAAAGACAUCAUGCUGGAGGAGCUUUCCCUGAUGAAGAACCGAGGCUCCAAGAUGUUCCGGAUGAGACAGCAGAGGGUGGAGAAGUUCAUCUACGAGAACAACCCCGACAUCUUCAGCAGUGAGUCAAUGGACAACCUUCAGAAGUUCGUUCCUUCCCUGGGGGGUCAGAUGGGAGGUCAGAUGAUAAAUGUUGGUGGGCAUUUUGUUAGCAAACAGAAUGUGCAUCUGUACUUUGGAGGGGCACAAGCAGGAGGAGCAGGGGGGCCCCCUGUGCCUCCUCCAAAGCCUGGAAGCAAAGGUGCAGGAGGUGCAGGAGGAGCAGGAGGAGCAGGAGGAGCAGGAGGUGCAGGAGGACUGCUGGCGGGUUUAACAGGAGAAGGAGGGAGUGAGUGGUCUCCACUAAAAGGAGGUGGAAAAGAUUCCGCAUCCAAGAAGCUGAUUGUUGUGAAGACGUACGUGUCGCCAUGGGAGAAGGCGAUGAAGGGUGACGAAGGCCUGAUAGCCACUCUGAAAACCGAAAUGCCUGCUCCCAUUAACCCAAAGGAUCUGCCCAAGUACAAGAGCUUCAACAGGACUGCCAUGCCCUUCGGCGGCUUUGAAAAGGCCAAUCAGUUCCUGAAAUUCCAGCUGCCAGAAACUGAGGCGACCAAAGAGGAGCCUGAACCUGCAGUGUACCAACAAGACAUUGGCUGCCGGCCUUCCUUCAACCGCACUCCCAUUGGCUGGGUGGGCAGCAGCGAGCCCAGCAGCAUUCACAUGGAGACGGAUGCCGUGCCCUUCGAUGGAGAGACCGACGAGCUGUGAAAACAUAUUCAUACUGUGAUUACACUGUGCACAUACACACACAAGCAUGACUGCAUGCAAACACGUUAGCAUACACACACACACACACACAAUAGAUGAGCUUACAAUUAACUGGUAAAGUGAUGGAAUCUGAUUCUCUCAGUGUGGAUAACUGAAAGUGUACAUGAAAUGUGGUCGUGUUCGUAUCUUGCUCUGUAUUUGGCUGUAAGGCAAAGAAACAAGCUGUAGAUGCUACGGGGAGAUGAAACAUCAAACGUUUAUUUGUCAAGUUCAUAAACUGAGUCUACGCACUCCUUUAGUUUGUCAGAAACGCUGUUGUUCUUGGUAAGAAGCUGCCGAUUUUUUUUUUUCAACGAGGAAAGAAUGGAUCAUGUAUGAAGAGAUAUUUGUGCUGUUGUGCAUGCUGUCUUAAUGUCAACUUAUUACCAUAUUUAUUACCCACUGCCUUUUUUGUUGUUGAGAUUAUCUGAUCAAUUGUUGAGCUAUUAAAACCCGACAAACCCUGUCUAAUUCAGAAUGCAUGCAUAGAGUCUGUUGCCGAUCCCUUAACCUACUGAACCAACACAGUUUCUCCACAAUAAACUGUACCACUCCACUUGUAGAGUGAUUAAAAUAUCAAAGAAAACUG